UGAAUUCAUAAUAUUGAUUGAACAUCAUACAUGAAGAUACAGCUAGUAGUAAGCAGUAGCUUCUGUUUUUUUUUUUUUUGUUAUUUGAGAUACAACUGUAAUAUAUGGCUAUUCCAAUCUAUUUAACUUCUCCAUUCAGGAGCAAGAAUACAGUUGAAGUUCUCCUCGAGGACCUCAACGAAAGAAUUCCUGGCUGGUAUGGUGAUGUUGAAUCCAUGGCUGUCUCGUUUGAGCAUUUAAGUUCAUCUUGUUUAGGAUGUAAGACCAAAUCCGAAAGGAAAUAGAGGAUUUGAAUUCCCGUGAACAUGCAUUGGAAUUUGAUCAACAGUUUUAAACCAUGUCACUGGUAGUUUCCCUUGAAAUGGAUAGUCUCCAAAAAGGACAUCUGUGAUUCCAUCUCCUUCAGUUCCAGGCAACCAAG
rnacentral:misc_RNA from 1 species